CCUACGGGGGGCAGCAGUGGGGAAUAUUGGACAAUGGGCGAAAGCCUGAUCCAGCCAUGCCGCGUGUGUGAAGAAGGCCUUCGGGUUGUAAAGCACUUUCAGUGGGGAAGAAAGCCUUGGGGCUAAUACCCUCGAGGAAGGACAUCACCCACAGAAGAAGCACCGGCUAACUCCGUGCACAGCAGCCGCGGUAAUACGGAGGGUGCGAGCGUUAAUCGGAAUUACUGGGCGUAAAGCGCGCGUAGGCGGUCUGAUAAGCCGGUUGUGAAAGCCCCGGGCUCAACCUGGGAACGGCAUCCGGAACUGUCAGGCUAGAGUGCAGGAGAGGAAGGUAGAAUUCCCGGUGUAGCGGUGAAAUGCGUAGAGAUCGGGAGGAAUACCAGUGGCGAAGGCGGCCUUCUGGACUGACACUGACGCUGAGGUGCGAAAGCGUGGGUAGCAAACAGGAUUAGAUACCCUAGUAGUC
rnacentral:rRNA from 1 species